rnacentral:rRNA from 1 species
AUGUGCUGCGGCGCCGAGGUGGCGGACCCUGGAGAGCACCGGCGGCGGCUAGCCGCCGGCGACGACGACGGGGGAGAUGGACGGGAGGAGCAUGCACUGUCCCCGCCGCCUCUCAAUACGACGAUGUGGGGGCGCAGACAGGCGCAGGAGAUGUCGGCCAUGGUAUCGGCGCUAGCUCAGGUCGUCGCCGGCGGCGUGGGCGAGGGUGUCAUGGCGUCUUCGACCAAGAGACCCGCCGAGCACGAGGCCUUCGCGGAGGAGGCGUGGUGGUCGACGUCGUACGGAGGUGGAGACGGAGACGGCGGAGCGCCGUCGGCGGCCUCUUCCUUCCUUGCCGAUUACACGGCAGCGCCCGCGGCAUCCUACUCGCCGCACGGGGCGGCAGCCGGCGACGAGGAGCUUCCUUCGCCGUCCUCCGCCGAGUCUGGUGGCUCCGGGGGCACGCCGAGGAAGCGGUACAGGGGCGUGCGGCAGCGGCCGUGGGGGAAGUGGGCGGCGGAGAUCCGUGACCCGCACAAGGCGGCGCGUGUGUGGCUCGGGACCUUCGACGACGCCGAGGCCGCCGCGCGUGCCUACGACGCCGCCGCCCUCGGAUUCCGCGGCAGCCGCGCCAAGCUCAACUUCCCCGAGUCGGCCACCAUCCCGCCGCCGCAGCAGCCUCCUCAUGCACCGGCAUUAGCGAUGCCACCGCCGCAGCAGCCUCCUCAUGCACCGGCAUUAGCGAUGCCACCGCCGCAGCGGCCCGAGGCGCUGCUGGAGUCGCAGGCUCUGUUGGGAGGGCAGGCUUAUUCCCACUACGCCAGGUUCCUGCGGCCGAGCACCGGCGGCUCGACGUCGGGGGCGCCGAGAACGCCGGCGCCUCCUCUGAUUUACAGCUUCGGAGCCGGAGCGAGCUACCCCUUGCAGCCCGAGCGCAGAGGUGAGGGUGCCAGUACAGAACGCCCGGCCCCGGUGGUGACCUCAGCAGCGGCGUGGGCAGCCUACAGCCACGAGCAGCCUCAGCGGCGGGAUGACCCGUCGGUGUGA